rnacentral:rRNA from 1 species
GCUUCUCUGAUGUUAGCGGCGGACGGGUGAGUAACACGUGGAUAACCUACCUAUAAGACUGGGAUAACUUCGGGAAACCGGAGCUAAUACCGGAUAAUAUUUUGAACCGCAUGGUUCAAAAGUGAAAGACGGUCUUGCUGUCACUUAUAGAUGGAUCCGCGCUGCAUUAGCUAGUUGGUAAGGUAACGGCUUACCAAGGCAACGAUGCAUAGCCGACCUGAGAGGGUGAUCGGCCACACUGGAACUGAGACACGGUCCAGACUCCUACGGGAGGCAGCAGUAGGGAAUCUUCCGCAAUGGGCGAAAGCCUGACGGAGCAACGCCGCGUGAGUGAUGAAGGUCUUCGGAUCGUAAAACUCUGUUAUUAGGGAAGAACAUAUGUGUAAGUAACUGUGCACAUCUUGACGGUACCUAAUCAGAAAGCCACGGCUAACUACGUGCCAGCAGCCGCGGUAAUACGUAGGUGGCAAGCGUUAUCCGGAAUUAUUGGGCGUAAAGCGCGCGUAGGCGGUUUUUUAAGUCUGAUGUGAAAGCCCACGGCUCAACCGUGGAGGGUCAUUGGAAACUGGAAAACUUGAGUGCAGAAGAGGAAAGUGGAAUUCCAUGUGUAGCGGUGAAAUGCGCAGAGAUAUGGAGGAACACCAGUGGCGAAGGCGACUUUCUGGUCUGUAACUGACGCUGAUGUGCGAAAGCGUGGGGAUCAAACAGGAUUAGAUACCCUGGUAGUCCACGCCGUAAACGAUGAGUGCUAAGUGUUAGGGGGUUUCCGCCCCUUAGUGCUGCAGCUAACGCAUUAAGCACUCCGCCUGGGGAGUACGACCGCAAGGUUGAAACUCAAAGGAAUUGACGGGGACCCGCACAAGCGGUGGAGCAUGUGGUUUAAUUCGAAGCAACGCGAAGAACCUUACCAAAUCUUGACAUCCUUUGACAACUCUAGAGAUAGAGCUUUCCCCUUCGGGGGACAAAGUGACAGGUGGUGCAUGGUUGUCGUCAGCUCGUGUCGUGAGAUGUUGGGUUAAGUCCCGCAACGAGCGCAACCCUUAAGCUUAGUUGCCAUCAUUAAGUUGGGCACUCUAAGUUGACUGCCGGUGACAAACCGGAGGAAGGUGGGGAUGACGUCAAAUCAUCAUGCCCCUUAUGAUUUGGGCUACACACGUGCUACAAUGGACAAUACAAAGGGCAGCGAAACCGUGAGGUCAAGCAAAUCCCAUAAAGUUGUUCUCAGUUCGGAUUGUAGUCUGCAACUCGACUACAUGAAGCUGGAAUCGCUAGUAAUCGUAGAUCAGCAUGCUACGGUGAAUACGUUCCCGGGUCUUGUACACACCGCCCGUCACACCACGAGAGUUUGUAACACCCGAAGCCGGUGGAGUAACCUUUUAGGAGCUAGCCGUCGAAGGUGGGACAAAUGAUUGGGGUGAAGUCGUAACAAGGUAGCCGUAUCGGAAGGUGCGGCUGGAUCACCU